rnacentral:rRNA from 1 species
AGUUUGAUCCUGGCUCAGGACGAACGCUGGCGGCGCGCCUAACACAUGCAAGUCGAACGGAGCUUAGAGAGCUUGCUUUUUAAGCUUAGUGGCGAACGGGUGAGUAACGCGUGAGUAACCUGCCCUAGAGUGGGGGACAACAGUUGGAAACGACUGCUAAUACCGCAUAAGCCCACGGUACCGCAUGGUACUGAGGGAAAAGGAUUUAUUCGCUUUAGGAUGGACUCGCGUCCAAUUAGCUAGUUGGUGAGGUAACGGCCCACCAAGGCGACGAUUGGUAGCCGGACUGAGAGGUUGAACGGCCACAUUGGGACUGAGACACGGCCCAGACUCCUACGGGAGGCAGCAGUGGGGGAUAUUGCACAAUGGGGGAAACCCUGAUGCAGCAACGCCGCGUGAAGGAAGACGGUUUUCGGAUUGUAAACUUCUGUUCUUAGUGAAGAUAGUGACGGUAGCUAAGGAGCAAGCCACGGCUAACUACGUGCCAGCCGCCGCGGUAAUAC